rnacentral:miRNA from 17 species
CAUGGGUCAGUCUCUCGGGAGCC